GGUGAACGCUGGCGGCGUGCCUAACACAUGCAAGUCGAGCGGUGCAGUUUGAAGCUUCGGUGGAAAGCUGCAUAGCGGCGGACGGGUGAGUAACACGUGAGUAACCUGCCUUUCACUGGGGAAUAACAUCGAGAAAUCGGUGCUAAUACCGCAUAACGUCACGAGAUCGCAUGGUUUUGUGACCAAAGGAGAAAUCCGGUGACAGAUGGACUCGCGUCCGAUUAGGUAGUUGGUGAGGUAAUGGCCCACCAAGCCUACGAUCGGUAGCCGAACUGAGAGGUUGAUCGGCCACAUUGGGACUGAGACACGGCCCAGACUCCUACGGGAGGCAGCAGUGGGGAAUAUUGGGCAAUGGGGGAAACCCUGACCCAGCAACGCCGCGUGAAGGAAGAAGGUCUUCGGAUUGUAAACUUCUUUGAUCAGGGACGAACAAAAUGACGGUACCUGAAGAACAAGCCACGGCUAACUACGUG
rnacentral:rRNA from 1 species